AGGUCAUAAUAUGCAGGUAGGAAAUACUGUUUUCUUCUCUAGAUAUGUUUCGCUGACUUUGGUCUCAAGCAUUUUCUACUUCUCAAAACUUAAGAGCAUCAUAUGUUAUACAUAGUAGAAUAAGUAUCUAACAUACUUGCACCGAAAAGUGUAGUCUAACGACCAAUGAAGUUGAUGCGAGCAUUGGAGACUGGGGUUUGAGUCCUCUUACUU
rnacentral:misc_RNA from 1 species